rfam:Serendipita vermifera MAFF 305830 unplaced genomic scaffold scaffold_217, whole genome shotgun sequence.
GUCAGAGUAGUUUAGUCGGUUAGAACGCCUACCUUGUAAGUAGGAGACGCGAGUUCGAAUCUCGGGUUUGACA